ACGUAAUAGAUACCCCGGUAGUCCACGCCGUAAACGAUGGAUACUAGCUGUUGGAGGUAUCGACCCCUUCAGUAGCGAAAGCUAAACGCGUUAAGUAUCCCGCCUGUGGAGUACGGUCGCAAGACUAAAACAUAAAGGAAUUGACGGGGACCCGCACAAGCGGUGGAUCGUGUUCUUUAAUUCGAUGAUAAACGAAGAACCUUACCAGGGCUUGACAUCCAGGGAAGCACUACGAAAGUAGAGUGUGCCUUUGGGAACCCUGUGACAGGUGUUGCAUGGCCGUCGUCAGCUCGUGUCGUGAGAUGUUUGGUUAAGUCCAUCAACGAGCGCAACCCUUGUACUUAGUUGUAUUUUUCUAGGUAGACUGCCCGGUAACGGGGAGGAAGGAGGGGAUGAUGUCAGGUCUGUAUUACCCUUACGUCCUGGGCUAGAAACACGAUACAAUGGCUAGUACAAUGCGCAGCAAAGCCGCGAGGUGGAGCAAAUCGCAUCAAAGCUAGUCUCAGUUCGGAUAAGAGGCUGAAACUCGCCUCUUUGAAGUCGGAAUCGCUA
rnacentral:rRNA from 1 species